AGGAAGCUCCUGUUCCGGCGGCAACAUUUCGUCCUCUGUGUGGAACUGAUCGCGCAGCUGUUCAAUUAAAGAGGUGCCCAAAUCGAUUUCCAGCAGAGUAUUUUCUUCAGGGUCCUCCUCCUCCAGCUCUUCUAGCUCUGGUCCUUCGGGAGCUUCCGGUGGUUUAGGCACUAUCGGUUGAUCCAGGAUUCCAUUGCGAAUAUCGCGAAUUUUGCGAGUGUGCUCCGAGUAUUGUUCGUCGCCUAA